rnacentral:rRNA from 1 species
UACGUAGGUGGCAAGCGUUGUCCGGAAUUAUUGGGCGUAAAGCGCGCGCAGGCGGUCUUUUAAGUCUGAUGUGAAAGCCCUCGGCUCAACCGAGGAGGGUCAUUGGAAACUGGGAGACUUGAGUGCAGAAGAGGAAAGUGGAAUUCCAAGUGUAGCGGUGAAAUGCGUAGAGAUUUGGAGGAACACCAGUGGCGAAGGCGACUUUCUGGUCUGUAACUGACGCUGAGGCGCGAAAGCGUGGGGAGCAAACAGG